UCCCGGGCCACCCGGCCUGCGGCGGAAUGUUGCGUAAAGGGAAAGGUCGUAUUCAAGCCCUGCAACCACACGAACUCUAAGUAAGCCACGAAUAGGCUGUCCCAACUAACGGCGGGAAAAACUCCACGGAGGGUGUAAGACCCGUGUGGGCGUGUGUCAAUGUUGCAUGGGUUCGGCCUCUUCUCUGAGAGUCGCGUUGCUUGGGCAUGCAGCGCUAAGCAGGUCGUAAACUCGAUCUAAGGCUAAAUAUUUCCACAAGACCGAUAGCAAACAAGUACCUUGAGGGAAAGUUGAAAAGCACUCUGAAGAGAGAGUCAAAAGACCGUGAAACCGUUCAGAGUAUAAGCCCAUGGCGCUUGGAAGGCUCCCGCUUAGCAUAAUGCCUAUCGAAGGGUUGACAACCAGUUGGAGUUCGUUAGGCUGUGCGCGUUAAGUCGUAUCUGGCCGUCGAUCGGGAUGGCGCCGCUGCGUUUGAACAUGUGUUCCUGCGUGCGCGUCUUCUUUUGGUUGGACGUUCUGGCUCUGGCUCUGUCGCUGCGGUACCAUAAGCCCACCACGGUUCGUUGUGAGGUCACCCACAGGCUCAAACUGUCGAUCGUGUGUCCGAUCACCGUGCAAUUAACGAGGUUGUCUGUUGGAGAGAGGAAUUCCUCCUCUCUCUCCUUCCUCUCCGAGGCGCAUGUGUGUGUCGGGCCAGGCGGCGAAACGAGUAUAUCCUGGUAUGAUCCUCUUGCGACGAUCUGAUUCUGACCGGGCUCUGAUUGCCAAAGGCGUGCUCACAGUCGUGGGUCGCUAGCAGUAAACACCGUAUGUUCCCUCUGGACGACUAUUUUUAUUAAUAGCUCGCCAUGUACUCGGUGAGGCAAUAGAAGAACUCGUGUGGUGUUAAGUCCGGCACCAUCGGUCACGUCUCGAAACACGGGCCAAGGAGUAUAGCAUGUGUGCAAGUCUAAGGGUGUCACAAAACCUGCAGGCGAAGUGAAAGCAAAGUUGUGGCGAGAACGCCUUAUUGCAGUCUCGUCAGCUAAGUGACAGUUUACUGUUGUCUGGCUUAAACAGAGCUGAUCCUGUUCCGUUGACUCAAUUGUCUCAAGGCAGGCGCAGGCUCCGGGCUCAUAUCUUACACUGGUGCUUUAAUUGGUGCUGUGUUGUGAGCACCGUGGAGCAUGCAUGCUAUAACCCGAAAGAUAGUGAACUAUGCCUGGCGAGGGCGAAGCCCCAGGAAACUGGGGUGGAGGCCCGUAGCCG
rnacentral:rRNA from 1 species